CCUAGGAAAGAAAAAUAUCACUAUAUAUGAAGUAUGAACCUGAAUCUUUCACCUUGAAGUAGCACCUCGACAUUUAAGAAACAAGAUAAAAAAACUUCAAAAGAAAAAUCGCAAAUGCUUGAAUUGAUUUUGCAUAAACAAGAGAGUCUCUGCAACUAGUUAUAAAGAUUCUCAGGUUUCAUUUUAAUGCUAAAGAUUCUCAGUUUUGAGGAGUCAUGAUGGCUUCCGUUACUGCAACAUCUUCUUUCAAAUUAUAAAUCUGAAGGUUUCUAUAUUCUAAUAGGCUAAAAGCCCAUUUAUCCGCGAAAUCCCUUGCCUUUCCUACAGAAAAACGUUGUCGUUCUUUAAUCAUUCACCUACACUAGCAAACGGUUUCGUUUGAUCAAAGGGUUCCCCACUUCCGAGUCGCACGCUGCUUGUUCACAGUGAAGGGGAGAGAGAGGGACAGCAGAGGAAGGAUGGAGGAGAAGAGCAGAGUCCUGAUAAUAGGAGCAACGGGAAGAUUAGGUUACCAUUUAGUCAACUUUAGUCUCCAGGAUGGUCACCCCACUUUUAUUCUUAUCAGAGACUCCUCAUUUACUGAUCCAAACAAAGUUCAAAAACUCAACUCUCUUCUAACUGCUGGUGCUAUUCUCCUCAAGGGUUCACUUGAAGAUGAGAAGAGUCUCAGGGAAGCAGCGAAGCAAGUGGAUGUAGUUAUCUGUGCAAUCCCAUCAAAACAGGCUCUUGAUCAGAAAAUACUCAUCCAGGUUAUUAAAGAAUCUGGGCGCAUUAAGAAAUUCAUUCCAUCCGAAUUCGGUGUAGAUCCUGACAAAAUUCAGAUAUCUGGCCUGGACCAUCAAUUCUAUUCUCGAAAAGCUGAGGUUAGGCGUCUUGUAGAAGCUGAAGGCAUUCCUUAUACUUACAUUUGCUGCAACCUUUUGAUGAGUUAUUUACUUCCAUGGCUAGCUCAACCUGGCUUAAAGGUUCCCCCAAAGGACAAGGUCACUAUUUUUGGAGAUGGAAAUGCUAAAGCUGUCUUCGUGAAGGAUAUUGAUGUUGCUGCUUUCACCAUCAGUGCCAUAGACGAUCCCAGAACACUUAAUAAGACUUUGUAUCUGAGACCCCCUGGAAACGUAUACUCCAUGAAUGAGCUGGUAGCAAUUUGGGAGAAUAAAAUUGCUAAGAAACUUGAGAAGAUUUAUGUACCUGAAGAGGAGGUUCUUAAGAAAAUCAAAGGUAUAUAUAAUGUAUCAUUAUGUAGCAAGUUUAUAAUAACUACUUAUUAACAUGUUGAAAAAAGUGAGGCUUUUAGAAAAAGCAUUGAAAAUUAUUUAGCUUCUAUUGCUUGUUAUAGCAAAACAGGAGAAUUACAUGAUUAAAUUGAUUAGGAAGAAGUAGCUCUGGGUUAUUAUUUAAUGCAUACUCUAAGCAGCAUCUAGAUUGCAGAGGAGCAAAUAAAGAUUCCUUUUAUAUUCCAUGAAUAACUCAGUUCUUUUCUUUUUUGUGAUAAUGAAUAACUAAGUUCUUAAAAGUAAUACAGUUGUUGAAAACUGGAAAGUAGGAGAAAUCACCCUACAUUGAAUAUCUUUGGUGUAUCACUAGCCAAUCUAAGAGCCUAACCACAGAAUAAUGCAAGUAUAGCUGUUUGACAUGCUCGUAUUUACAUUCUGUUCGGCAUUUGGUCACAUUGUGAUUCUGGAUUAGAGGUGAUAGAUUAAUUGAUGUAUGAAGGGCUCUAACUUAAGCAGAAAUACAAUAAAUUAAGAUUACCAAAAGUGGGGCUCUUGCAUAGUAGUGCACAUUAUGCAUUCACUUGCUUGUAUGUUAAAGCUUUACUUGAUUUACUUGGAUUAUUUCCAGACCAACAGGCAUGGGAGUAGAGACUCCUUACCCAGACAACAUGGAGAUGAUAUUCAUAUAUUCUGCCUUUGUAAAGGGAGAUCAUACAUACUUUAAUAUCGACCCUUCUGGAGUUGAUGGUACACAACUGUACCCACACUUGAAAU